UGCGGUGAUGACACCAUGUCAAAAUGCUUAGAGAAUCCAUUCAUUUGGUCUCCCAUGAAGCUCUGAUAUUAUAGACUACAACGGUAUCUGAGC